CGGGACGGGUGAGUAACGUGUGGGCAACCUGCCCUAUACUGGGGAAUAAUCACUGGAAACGGUGACUAAUACCGCAUGUCAUUACGGAAGGGCAUCCUUCUGUAAGAAAAGGAGUAAUUCGGUAUAGGAUGGGCCCGCAUCUGGUUAGCUAGUUGGUGAGAUAACAGCCCACCAAGGCGACGAUCAGUAGCCGACCUGAGAGGGUGAUCGGCCACAUUGGGACUGAGACACGGCCCAA
rnacentral:rRNA from 1 species